rnacentral:rRNA from 1 species
GACGAACGCUGGCGGCGUGCUUAACACAUGCAAGUCGAACGGAAAGGCCCUGCUUGCAGGGUACUCGAGUGGCGAACGGGGGAGUAACACGUGGGUGAUCUGCCCUGCACUUCGGGAUAAGCCUGGGAAACUGGGUCUAAUACCGGAUAGGAGCCAUUUUUAGUGUGAUGGUUGGAAAGUUUUUUCGGUGUAGGAUGAGCUCGCGGCCUAUCAGCUUGUUGGUGGGGUAAUGGCCUACCAAGGCGGCGACGGGUAGCCGGCCUGAGAGGGUGGACGGCCACAUUGGGACUGAGAUACGGCCCAGACCCCUACGGGAGGCAGCAGUGGGGAAGAUUGCACAAGGGGCGCAAGCCUGAUGCAGCGACGCCGCGGGGGGGAUGACGGCCUUCGGGUUGGAAACCCCUUUCGCUAGGGACGAAGCUUUUUGUAACGGUACCUAGAUAAGAAGCACCGGCUAACUACGUG